UGGGGAAUUUUGGACAAUGGGGGCAACCCUGAUCCAGCCAUUCCGCGUGAGUGAAGAAGGCCUUCGGGUUGUAAAGCUCUUUCAGCUGGAACGAAACGGUACAGGUUAAUACCCUGUGCUAAUGACGGUACCGGCAGAAGAAGCACCGGCUAACUACGUGCCAGCAGCCGCGGUAAUACGUAGGGUGCGAGCGUUAAUCGGAAUUACUGGGCGUAAAGCGUGCGCAGGCGGAUUGUUAAGCAAGAUGUGAAAUCCCCGGGCUUAACCUGGGAAUGGCAUUUUGAACUGGCAGUCUAGAGUGCGUCAGAGGGGGGUGGAAUUCCACGUGUAGCAGUGAAAUGCGUAGAGAUGUGGAGGAACACCAAUGGCGAAGGCAGCCCCCUGGGAUGACACUGACGCUCAUGUACGAAAGCGUGGGUAGCAAACA
rnacentral:rRNA from 1 species